rnacentral:rRNA from 1 species
GCVAAGCUGGCGGCGUGCCUAAUACAUGCAAGUCUAGCGAAUCGAYGGGAGCUUGCUCCCUGAGAUUAGCGGCGGACGGGUGAGUAACACGUGGGCAACCUGCCUAUAAGACUGGGAUAACUUCGGGAAACCGGAGCUAAUACCGGAUACGUUCUUUUCUCGCAUGAGAGAAGAUGGAAAGACGGUUUACGCUGUCACUUAUAGAUGGGCCCGCGGCGCAUUAGCUAGUUGGUGAGGUAAUGGCUCACCAAGGCGACGAUGCGUAGCCGACCUGAGAGGGUGAUCGGCCACACUGGGACUGAGACACGGCCCAGACUCCUACGGGAGGCAGCAGUAGGGAAUCUUCCGCAAUGGACGAAAGUCUGACGGAGCAACGCCGCGUGAACGAAGAAGGCCUUCGGGUCGUAAAGUUCUGUUGUUAGGGAAGAACAAGUACCAGAGUAACUGCUUGGUACCUUGACGGUACCUAACCAGAAAGCCACGGCUAACUACGUGCCAGCAGCCGCGGUAAUACGUAGGUGGCAAGCGUUGUCCGGAAUUAUUGGGCGUAAAGCGCGCGCAGGUGGUUCCUUAAGUCUGAUGUGAAAGCCCCCGGCUCAACCGUGGAGGGUCAUUGGAAACUGGGGAACUUGAGUGCAGAAGAGGAAAGUGGAAUUCCAAGUGUAGCGGUGAAAUGCGUAGAGAUUUGGAGGAACACCAGUGGCGAAGGCGACUUUYUGGUCUGUAACUGACACUGAGGCGCGAAAGCGUGGGGAGCAAACAGGAUUAGAUACCCUGGUAGUNCACGCCGUAAACGAUGAGUGCUAAGUGUUAGAGGGUUUCCGCCCUUUAGUGCUGCAGCUAACGCAUUAAGCACUCCGCCUGGGGAGUACGGCCGCAAAGGCUGAAANUCAAAGGAAUUUGACGGGGGCCCGCACAAGCGGUGGAGCAUGUGGUUUAAUUSGAAGCAACGCGAAGAACCUUACCAGGUCUUGACAUCCUCUGACAACCCUAGAGAUAGGGCUUUCCCCUUCGGGGGACAGAGUGACAGGUGGUGCAUGGUUGUSGUCAGMUCGUGUCGUGAGAUGYUGGGUUAAGUCCCGCAACGAGCGCAACCCUUGAUCUUAGUUGCCAGCA